rnacentral:rRNA from 1 species
AGAGAGCUUGCUCUCUUGGCGGCGAGUGGCGGACGGGUGAGUAAUAUAUCGGAACGUGCCCAGUAGCGGGGGAUAACUACUCGAAAGAGUGGCUAAUACCGCAUACGCCCUACGGGGGAAAGGGGGGGAUCGCAAGACCUCUCACUAUUGGAGCGGCCGAUAUCGGAUUAGCUAGUUGGUGGGGUAAAGGCUCACCAAGGCAACGAUCCGUAGCUGGUUUGAGAGGACGACCAGCCACACUGGGACUGAGACACGGCCCAGACUCCUACGGGAGGCAGCAGUGGGGAAUUUUGGACAAUGGGGGAAACCCUGAUCCAGCCAUCCCGCGUGUAUGAUGAAGGCCUUCGGGUUGUAAAGUACUUUUGGCAGAGAAGAAAAGGUAUCUCCUAAUACGAGAUACUGCUGACGGUAUCUGCAGAAUAAGCACCGGCUAACUACGUGCCAGCAGCCGCGGUAAUACGUAGGGUGCAAGCGUUAAUCGGAAUUACUGGGCGUAAAGCGUGUGUAGGCGGUUCGGAAAGAAAGAUGUGAAAUCCCAGGGCUCAACCUUGGAACUGCAUUUUUAACUGCCGAGCUAGAGUAUGUCAGAGGGGGGUAGAAUUCCACGUGUAGCAGUGAAA